rnacentral:rRNA from 1 species
GACGAACGCUGGCGGCGUGCUUAACACAUGCAAGUCGAGCGGUAAGGCCCUUUCGGGGGGUACACGAGCGGCGAACGGGUGAGUAACACGUGGGUGACCUGCCCUCAGCUCUGGGAUAAGCCUGGGAAACCGGGUCUAAUACUGGAUAUGACUCCAUGACGCAUGUUGUGGGGUGGAAAGCCUUGUGCGGCUGAGGAUGGGCCCGCGGCCUAUCAGCUUGUUGGUGGGGUGAUGGCCUACCAAGGCGACGACGGGUAGCCGGCCUGAGAGGGCGACCGGCCACACUGGGACUGAGACACGGCCCAGACUCCUACGGGAGGCAGCAGUGGGGAAUCUUGCGCAAUGGGCGAAAGCCUGACGCAGCGACGCCGCGUGAGGGAUG